rnacentral:lncRNA from 1 species
UUCACAGGCAGCAGCAAUUAAGAUCUCAACAUAUCUUCUAGGAGGACACAACCCAACCCAAUACAGAAGCGUAGUAAGUGUUACUACACAGAGGAACUAACGUGGAAAUAUGCCAGUGGAAAGAAGGGGGGAUCUAAGUUAGCUGCCCCACAUCUGUCACAGCGGAAAGCCAAGAGACAAAGACUGCAGUUGGUAAAGCGAGAAGCGAUGGUAGAAACUCACUCUUGCAUGAAGGUAUUCGAAGUGGUUCUUUUAUGAAGCCAGUCUAAGCACUUCAGUAAUAAAAAGAGGAAGAACAAACAGUCCCAACCCUGCGAAGAUGCUGUAUGGAGGUCAGGCUGCCCAACAGGCUGGAAGAGGCACAGCACGAAUGCUGCAGCCCUGGCAGCACCUUGCCCUUCACUGGGAGGAAGACCAGAGGGAGUUCCAGAAAUUCCUGCCCCAAUUGCCCAGCAGCCCGGGUCCCAGGAACAACAUCUCUGAGGCUGGACCCUGGCCUCUAGGUAGCGACCCUCUGGCUUCCCUCCACAG